rnacentral:rRNA from 1 species
AUGGUCGAUGCAGUGGGCACCGUGACCAAGAUUGUGGAAGUUGCACUAAAGAUCAAGAAGGCUGCAGACACGGUGAAGCAGAAUGAAGAUGCCUGCAAGCAAAUAAAAAGCCGCGUGGAGAUACUCAGUACUACGUUGUCGCAGCACCAGAAUAACACAGAGCUAAUGAACAACUCGGCAGUGAGGCUCGCACUUGAUGCGCUGGCCGAUAUCCUUGGUGAGGCCUUGAAGCUCGUCACCGACUGCCAGGAGGAGGACACCAACUUCCCGUGCCUUCUCUACAGUUCCGGGAAACUGUCCCAAGAGUUAAUGAAGGUGGAGCAACAUAUAUCCAAUAAGAACAUGGAUGCGACGUUGGCCAUCAUUGCUUUCCUUUUACCUAAACCAAUUGGUCCAGUCAGUUUACCUCCAGCUCAACAGGUAUGA